AAGGGUUCAAGGGCUGCCUCCUGAGUUGGCAAGAGAACCAGGGUUGUGGGAUAUCGUGAGCCUAGUUCUUGGGGAAGCUGGAAGGAUGCUUGGUUGCCCGGCGACAACGCUGCCUCACGGCAGCCCUUGGUUUCCCACAGCCCUGGAUGCAUCUCAUUGAAAGGAAAGAGGGGCGGCUGGCUGACACGUUUCCUGAAGUGGCAUUUUCCAUGCCCCCAGUCUUGGUAUCCUGUUGGUGCCCAGCGACCUCUGGAUAUAUUAGGCAGCUUUAAAUUAUAAUUAAAAUCAUAACUGUGGUCCUAAAACAAUAAUAGAUGUUGAAUUAUACAAACGCCAAAUUAGGAUGUCCAGAAAAUGGUUUGAAGGAAAGCAGAGAGCAGAACUGUCUGGAGACAACGGCCAUCCCCAUGCUGAAAGCUUCAUAGCUCUUCCAUGUCCUUCGGUGACAGGCUGCUGAUGGAUAUGCCUCUGAACUUUCACCUUUGCCAUCUCGGGUUGAACUCAGGCUUGUUUCUGUACUUCAAGCCUGAAGCCUCCUGUUGGGAGCAGGAGUGAUCUGAUCGGGGAGCCCUGCUUGGUCUCGAUGGGCCCUCUCUCAUGCUAACCAGCAGGGCGAGCCACCUCCAAUGAUCAGGGUCGAUCUCGGGAGAGGGCUGCCUGGGGUCAAUGUCAGGGUCACGGGUCAGGGCGUAGCUGCUGGCUAAUAGAGUGUAAGCUAACACUGUUGUCAAAUUGCUGGGCUAAACUACAAUGCCUGCCUCCUGCUGAUGACCUUGCCCUGAGGGAGGGGGCUAUUGGCUUUAUUGGAAACCUGCCAGUCUCGGAGGUGAUGGAAGUGGCUGAUCACACUAAAGACUGUUUGAUUGUUGACGUAGAGCCAGUUCUGUGGUCGGGUCCCCAACCGGAAGGCCCGCGGAGCUGCUUAUUGACGGCUGAGUUUUCCGCACGUGAUGGAUUUCUCCUCUGUUUCCCACGCCGCUGGUUACUGUCCAGUCGUGGAGGCGGGCUUCGGUGGCCCAUGGACACGGGUUUUUCUGGCACCGAGGAACGCAAGAGGCGAUGCUCUCACUGACUGCCGGGUUGACACCACCUUCUUAUUGCCAGCUGAAUGGGACUGACUUGUUCUUGAAAGGAAACCAAUCCACAAUGAAUUGAAAAUAGAUGUAAGAGGUCCUCCGAUUCCAAGGCAUUUUGGUGAGCAUGAAAGAAGGCAACGAGUGUGUGUCCGGAAGAGAUUAGUAUUCUGGCCAUCAUUAUCUCAGCCUCAAACGGCCAACCUUUCCCAUGCAGGAAGAAGACAUUAGAUUUCUUUAUUUGCCGGGAGAUAUAACCAGCCUAGUCGUGCCAUGAAAUAUUUGAAGGGAAGGUUACUGAAAACUUAGAAUUCCAAAAUUUCCCAGCAUAGUCUGAAUUCAUAAGGGACAAGUCAAGGAGGUAGAGAGCAAAGUAGAGAGAUAGAAAACGAUCUUUAUAAAAAAAAAAAGUAUGGAUUGUGGAGGAUUACCAGCUAAUUAAACCUAAUAGCCUGCUAAGGUAGACAGUAAAUGACUAAAGGCAUAAAUAGGAGAAGAGCUUAUUGAAACUACAAGCGUAUUCUCCUCUUGUGCUAUGGCUUGGGAAGACGUGUAUAGAAAUGGUACCCCUGGUCUUUAAGUCGCUAACUUAAUAGAGAUGGUGGAGCAUCUGUGGGGAGCUCCGCAAGUGAACUUGAAGGGUUUUUCCCAGGGAAGAAUUGACUGAGGGUGAUUUAUCAUUGACCUUCCAGUCUAUUAGAUGACAGGGUAAGUGAUGUGUCGUUAAGCCAUGUCAAUAUGGUGUGAUGGCAUUUAGUGAGAUUUUGGCUUGGCUCCUGUUACUAUUUCCACCUCUUUAAGCCUCAGUUUCCUUCUUUGUUAAACAGGAUCAUGCCAUACAUCUUGCAUAGUUACCAUGAAGAUUGAUUCAGGUGCAGAACUAUGAGUAGAGUACUUGACACAAAGUUCACAGCAAUACACAUUGAUUUCCUUUUCCUAAACUGUGGCAUGAGCUUUCUGACAGGCAUUAAUAAAUACGGGGUCUUAGACAAUAUACUUCCUCUUUGUGAGCAAGUAAAACAAUCACAUAUACAAAGUUCAUGCAAACUCCACCUGACCACAGGAGGAUGACCUAGAUCAGUGUUAGCAAACUAGAGCCCACCACCUACUUUUAUAAAUAAAGUUUUACUGGAACACAUCCAUGCUCAUUCAUUUACAUUGUCCAUGGCUGUUUCUGUGCUACAAUAACAGAGUGUGACAGAGACAGUGUGGCCCAUCAAGCCUAAAAUAUUUACUCUCUGCCCCUUUCCAGAAAUGUUUCUUGGCUCCUAACCUAUUGCAAUGGAACACACUUUCUUUUGUUUAAAAACAAAAUGUUAUGUGGAAAUCCAAUAUGCAAAGCAGGUUCAAGCAGCAAAUAUUUUCCAGGGACUGGACUUCCCUGUUUAGCACAAACACUUUAUUGUUGGUAGAACUAUGAAGCGAUAUUAGUGGUUCCAUGGAGCGGUUGGAAAAUUAUGGACUGAAUAAUCUCUGGAUAUUUCUUUAAGGUCCUGGAAACUCAGUGAUUUCUUAGGAGAUUAGAAAAUGGCAAAGAGAAUAUGUCCAUGCCUAGCAAGUCCUGGGAUCUUUCUUU